rnacentral:rRNA from 1 species
UACGUAGGGUGCGAGCGUUGUCCGGAAUUAUUGGGCGUAAAGAGCUCGUAGGCGGUGUGUCACGUCGGCCGUGAAAACCUGCAGCUUAACUGUGGGCGUGCGGUCGAUACGGGCAUCACUGGAGUUCGGCAGGGGGAGACUGGAAUUCCUGGUGUAGCGGUGAAAUGCGCAGAUAUCAGGAGGAACACCGGUGGCGAAGGCGGCAUCCUGGGACCGACACUGACGCUGAGGAGCGAAAGCCAGGGGAGCAAACGGGG